rnacentral:rRNA from 1 species
UACGAAGGGGGCUAGCGUUGCUCGGAAUCACUGGGCGUAAAGCGCACGUAGGCGGAUUGUUAAGUCAGGGGUGAAAUCCUGGAGCUCAACUCCAGAACUGCCUUUGAUACUGGCGAUCUUGAGUCCGGGAGAGGUGAGUGGAACUGCGAGUGUAGAGGUGAAAUUCGUAGAUAUUACGCAAGAACACCAGUGGCGAAGGCGGACUCACUGGCCCGGUACUGACGCUGAGGUG